rnacentral:rRNA from 1 species
CCUACGGGAGGCAGCAGUGGGGAAUAUUGCACAAUGGGGGAAACCCUGAUGCAGCGACGCCGCGUGAGUGAAGAAGUAUUUCGGUAUGUAAAGCUCUAUCAGCAGGGAAGAAAAUGACGGUCCCUGACUAAGAAGCCCCGGCUAACUACGUGCCAGCAGCCGCGGUAAUACGUAGGGGGCAAGCGUUAUCCGGCUUUACUGGGUGUAAGGGGAGCGUCGACGGCCAGACAAGUCAGAAGUGAAAGCCCAGGGCUCAACCCUGGGACUGCUUUUGAAACUGCCGGGCUGGAGGGCAGGAGAGGUAAGCGGAAUUCCUAGGGGAGCGGUGAAAUGCGGAGAUAUUAGGAGGAACACCAGUGGCGAAGGCGGCUUACUGGACUGUAACUGACGUUGAGGCUCGAAAGCGUGGGGAGCAAACAGGAUUAGAUACCCGUGUAGUC